rnacentral:rRNA from 1 species
GCAAGGGGAGUGGCAGACGGGUGAGUAACACGUGGGAACAUACCCAAAGGUACGGAACAACUCCGGGAAACUGGAGCUAAUACCGUAUGUGUCCGUAAGGAGAAAGAUUUAUCGCCUUUGGAUCGGCCCGCGUCUGAUUAGCUAGUUGGUGAGGUAACGGCCCACCAAGGCGACGAUCAGUAGCUGGUCUGAGAGGAUGAUCAGCCUCACUGGGACUGAGACACGGCCCAGACUCCUACGGGAGGCAGCAGUGGGGAAUAUUGGACAAUGGGCGCAAGCCUGAUCCAGCCAUGCCGCGUGGGUGAUGAAGGCCCUAGGG